UUUGACCUUGUUAAUAUGAUUUUUUUUCUUAAUUGUUUUUCUAAUUUUCAGAUUUAAAAAAAUAAAAAUAUAAAAAAUAAAAUUAAAUCUCUCUCUCUUUUUCUCUCUCUCUCUCUCUCUCUCGUUAAUUCCCUUUCCUUCUUCAAUACUUUUCCUUUACAAAAGCUAUUUAAUAGUUUCUUCCCCAAAAAUUCAUCAAGGACAUCAAAUUAGAUACAAGAAUUUGCCAUCAGAACUAGAACAACACUAGAUCUCAUUUCAAGCUUUUUCCAACAAAACCCAAAUCUCAUGUCAAGCUUAUUUUGGUGAACCUCCAAAGAUACGACUCCCGCUCAUUCGUUCCUCAAAACCAUCGAGACCUACAAAACUACUCACCACUUCCAUCGCCCACACCACACCACCAAUUGCUUCACCUGAAACCACAAACCAUGGAAUCAGAUUUCUUCCUUUUUCGGGUCCAUCCGGGUCUACCCAAAAUCUAUCAAUUCGAUGAUUGGUUUUGGGGUGAAUCCAAAUGGGUUGCAUCAAUUCAAAACACGUUGCCAUCACUACUAUUUCCCCUAUUCACGAUUCUUCCCUGAUCCUUACUGAUAAUGGUAAACUCAUGCACCACGCAUUUUCUGGAUCCUAAUAAGAAUCGGGAUUAUGGAUUAUGGGGGAAGAUCAAAUAGGAUACAAAAGACGAUGUUGAAGAUGGAGGAUGUAAAAGAUGAAGUGGAUUACUAUGUUACCAGUUCAUCAUCUCAUAACUUGUUCAUCAUUCAGGGGAGAUUUGGUGUUGUUGGUGGUUGGGUUUGGACUUUUUCGCCAUUAAAGCACACAGAAUCAUUGAGCUUGUUGCUUGAAUUUGCUGGUAUUAGAGCUUUGUUGGUUGUGUUUGGACUUUUUCGCCACCUGUAAAUCGUAAUCCCAAGCAGAUUCAUGACCUCAAUUUGCUACUUAGCUCUGGCGUUCUUCGUCAGUCAAUCAAGUAUUUCACCAGAUUUCAAAUUGGAGAAAUGGAGUUUAAGAGAAAGCGGGAAAUUGCAUCCCAAUCCUUGCAUCAUCAAGGCUGGCUAGUGUCAAUUUUUCCUUGCACUGAUUUGGGGUAUACGGUGUCUGCAAUUCAGGGAGAGGGAUAAAAGGGGUCCAGUUUGCCCUCAUCUUCAUGUUUAUUCAGGUGGUGGUGAUGGCAGUUCAUUAGAAAUCAAUUUUUGGGUUCGUGAAUAUGAUGUUCUUGUUCUUUAACUCAUGAAAAAAACAAUUGUUCUUAAGAUUCAUAUUCAUAUAUGUGUGUAUGUGUUUAGUUCUAUUAGACUUCACACAAUGAAUUGAACAAAACUGAUAAAAGUGAGAGUUGUACAUUUUACAAA